AUACGUAGGGUGCGAGCGUUGUCCGGAAUUACUGGGCGUAAAGAGCUCGUAGGUGGUUUGUCGCGUCGUCUGUGAAAUUCCGGGGCUUAACUCCGUGCGUGCAGGCGAUACGGGCAUAACUUGAGUACUGUAGGGGAGACUGGAAUUCCUGGUGUAGCGGUGAAAUGCGCAGAACUCAGGAGGAACACCGGUGGCGAAGGCGGGUCUCUGGGCAGUAACUGACGCUGAGGAGCGAAAGCAUGGGUAGCGAACAGGAUUAGAUCCCCUGGUAGUCCAUGCCGUAAACGGUGGGCGCUAGGUGUAGGGGUCUUCCACGACUUCUGUGCCGUAGCUAACGCAUUAAGCGCCCCGCCUGGGGAGUACGGCCGCAAGGCUAAAACUCAAAUGAAUUGACGGGG
rnacentral:rRNA from 1 species